AAAUACGAGUAAAUAAAUAAUUAGGUCACUGAAUCUCAUAGUAGAAUCGUGGGACUCGAGAUGAUAACCAGAGGGAUUUUUCAACAAUUAUGUACCCGCGAGAGAAUAAUGUUAAUAAUAUUAUGGUAGGUACUUCGUCUGAUUUUAAGAGGUCCGUUUUUUUUGGUUUAUGCUUUUAGAUGCAUAGAAGACAUUUUCUAUUAGGUAUUUUUUAUUUGU